rnacentral:lncRNA from 1 species
AUGUACGGAAAGAAGGCUAUGAAAAAAGUUAAGGGAGAUGCAGGUGUGAAAGGAAACACGAAAGAUCUUUCUUCCUCAUCCCAAGAAGCAGCACCUACCACCAUUCUCAACAAGAAAUAUCUAUGUUAUGGUCACCGACAAGAGUUUACCACCUCGCAACGUCGUGUUGUUACUGAAUUGUUUAUUGUCAGUCUCCCCAGUGUGCACGUUGGCUCCAAGACUGAGACUUCCUCUCUCUUUUCGUCUCUCUAUCUUGGGAAUCUAGAAGGGUGCCUAGCACAUUUGUUGAAUGAAUGAAUAAAGGAAUGAGUUUUUCAAAUGUCGAUUAUGUAAUAUCUCAUUUUUCUCCUCUUUUGAAUAAGGGAAAUAACAUCUCUCUUACAAGAAUAUUGUGAAGAUUAGGUGAUAAAAGAUAGGAAUAUUCCCAACCUCAUUAUUAGAAAAAUAUUGGUUCCAUUUUCUCUCCUCUAAAGAGUGGUUCUCCAAGCAGCCCUGUGGAGGACAUUUUGGAAAUCUGCAGGGGAAUUUCGGGUUUUCAGAGAGAGAAGCAUUGCCCUUUAUCGGGCAGUGUCAUGGAUGCAAGGUGUCCUGCAGUGCGUGGGAGAGCCCCACACAGUAAAUAAUCACUCUGAGUCACUUAGGACUUUUGAUUGUCCCACUGGACUUUCAUGUAGGUUAAAACCUGUUUAUAAUGAUCAAAGCUAGAAUCUGAUUCCGUUACGUAUAAAAACAAAGUAUUUAUGGUGAGUACAGUGUUGUCAGGAAUGCAACUACCAUGGAAGUGUCAAGGGAAGACUGAACUUUCUGAAAUCGAGAUUUUCAAUAUAGAGCUCAGUUGUUGCUGUUGUGGUAUUUUACUGGCAAACGGUUAGAAAAAUUCUAAUUCUAGGGGAGGGUCUAAAAUGAAAAACUAAAAUCUCCCUUCUUCUGCACCUAUCCCUAACCCCACCUAUCCCUAACCCCACCUAUCCCUAACCCCACCUAUCCCUAACCCCACCUAUCCCUAACCCCACCUAUCCCUAACCCCGCUCCUCGAAGCAACUCUUUCUGCAGCACUUAUGAUCUUUAGAACUUUUUACAAUUAUAAUUUAACAUAAACUAAACUUGACUAAACUGAAAUUUAUAUUGGUGUGUCUCUGCACAUCAGCCUCAGACAAUAUUUAUAGGCGUAUUUAUCAUCACGUUCCUUUCCUCUCCCUCUAUCUUCUAUUUUGGUAGUUUUUAUUUUUACAUUAACAAACUUUAUAAUAGAUAUUCUGCAUUGUAUGAGUCUUCUAUCUUUUUUCCGUAGGCUUAUUAAAAUAAAGUAAAAACAUUUGAAGUACA